rfam:Hordeum vulgare subsp. vulgare, WGS project CAJW01000000 data, contig: morex_contig_171747
CAAGUACGUCCUCUGUACGGAAAUACUUGUCGUAGAAAUGGAUGUAUCUAGAUUUAUUUUAGUUUUAAAUACAUUUAUUUGUAUCUAUUUUUGUGACAAGUAAUUUCGGACCGAGGGGGCUCUUU